rnacentral:rRNA from 1 species
UACGGAGGAAAAGAAACCAACAGGGAUUGCCUCAGUAGCGGCGAGUGAAGCGGCAAAAGCUCAAAUUUGAAAUCUGGCGUCUUUGGCGUCCGAGUUGUAAUUUGAAGAAGGUAUCUUUGGGCCCGGCUCUUGUCUAUGUUCCUUGGAACAGGACGUCACAGAGGGUGAGAAUCCCGUGCGAUGAGAUGACCCGGGUCUGUGUAAAGUUCCUUCGACGAGUCGAGUUGUUUGGGAAUGCAGCUCUAAGUGGGUGGUAAAUUCCAUCUAAAGCUAAAUAUUGGCGAGAGACCGAUAGCGAACAAGUACAGUGAUGGAAAGAUGAAAAGAACUUUGAAAAGAGAGUGAAAAAGUACGUGAAAUUGUUGAAAGGGAAGGGCUUGAGAUCAGACUUGGUAUUUUGCAUGCUGCUCUCUCGGGGGCGGCCGCUGCGGUUUACCGGGCCAGCAUCGGUUUGGAGCGGCAGGAUAAUGGCGGAGGAAUGUGGCACGGCUUCUGCUGUGUGUUAUAGCCUCUGACGAUACUGCCAGCCUAGACCGAGGACUGCGG